rnacentral:rRNA from 1 species
CCUACGGGUGGCAGCAGUGGGGGAUAUUGCACAAUGGGGGAAACCCUGAUGCAGCGACGCCGCGUGGGUGAAGAAGUAUUUCGGUAUGUAAAGCCCUAUCAGCAGGGAAGAAAGAAGACGGUACCUGACUAAUAAGCCCCGGCUAACUACGUGCCAGCAGCCGCGGUAAUACGUAGGGUGCGAGCGUUAUCCGGAUUCACUGGGUGUAAAGGGAGCGUAGACGGCCGUGCAAGCCAGGAGUGAAAGCCCGGGGCCCAACCCCGGGACUGCUCUUGGAACUGUGCGGCUGGAGUGCGGGAGGGGCAGGCGGAAUGCCUGGUGUAGCGGUGAAAUGCGUAGAUAUCAGGAGGAACACCGGCGGCGAAGGCGGCCUGCUGGACCGCGACUGACGUUGAGGCUCGAAAGCGUGGGGAGCGAACAGGAUUAGAUACCCGGGUAGUC